rnacentral:tRNA from 6 species
AGAGAUAUGGUGAAAUUUGGUAUACACAAUGGACUU